GAUGAACGCUGGCGGCGUGCCUAAUACAUGCAAGUCGAGCGAACAGACGAGGAGCUUGCUCCUCUGACGUUAGCGGCGGACGGGUGAGUAACACGUGGAUAACCUACCUAUAAGACUGGGAUAACUUCGGGAAACCGGAGCUAAUACCGGAUAAUAUAUUGAACCGCAUGGUUCAAUAGUGAAAGACGGUUUUGCUGUCACUUAUAGAUGUAUCCGCGCCGCAUUAGCUAGUUGGUAAGGUAACGGCUUACCAAGGCAACGAUGCGUAGCCGACCUGAGAGGAUGAUCAGCCACACUGGAACUGAGACACGGUCCAGACUCCUACGGGAGGCAGCAGUAGGGAAUCUUCCGCAAUGGGCGAAAGCCUGACGGAGCAACGCCGCGUGAGUGAUGAAGGUCUUCGGAUCGUAAAACUCUGUUAUUAGGGAAGAACAAAUGUGUAAGUAACUAUGCACGUCUUGACGGUACCUAAUCAGAAAGCCACGGCUAACUACGUG
rnacentral:rRNA from 1 species